GGGUAACCUGCCCAAGAGAUCGGGAUAACACCUGGAAACAGAUGCUAAUACCGGAUAACAACAGAUGAUGCCUAUCAACUGUUUAAAAGAUGGUUCUGCUAUCACUCUUGGAUGGACCUGCGGUGCAUUAGCUAGUUGGUAGGGUAACGGCCUACCAAGGCGAUGAUGCAUAGCCGAGUUGAGAGACUGAUCGGCCACAUUGGGACUGAGACACGGCCCAAACUCCUACGGGAGGCAGCAGG
rnacentral:rRNA from 1 species